CAGUGUCAGAAGAGGCAUUAACCCGUGCUUCUCUGUAACACUUACAGACACUUCAACACAGACAGCUCAUCACAAGGCUGAACCUCACUGGAGCUUCAGAAUCUGCAGCAAUCACAAAAUGAUCAGCAAAGAAGACGAGAGUCAAUCAACUGAAGCA